GUGGCCGUAGCUCAACGGUAGAGCACCAGGUUGUGAGCCUGGAUGUCGUGGGGUCAGCACCCACCGGUCACCCCA
rnacentral:tRNA from 1 species